rnacentral:lncRNA from 10 species
CCUUACCAAAAACCUAGAUGUGAAGCAUCUUCAUAAAAUUCUUCUUAUGCUGAUAAUUAUGAAAAAAUUAUUUAUGAGUGGCACACUGAAAGUGACUCAAGGUCCCUGUUCUGAUUAUGAAUUUUCAUUGUAAUUUAGUGGCAUAAGAAGUUGAGCUGGCUAUGACUACCUUGAAAAUUCUUCCUUCCUGUGUCUGGGUACUGUGUAGCAUAUCAAAGCAGGAAAGAGCCUGCUACCCUCAGGCUUAUUCCCUAUCCAUGUGGGCGGAUAACACCAAUACCCAUGAAAGAAGGAGAGGAACGUACUGCUCUGGAACAGAACAGUGCAUGCUCUGUAUGAUGCAGAGUACAAGGUAUUCAGAGAAUGGGACUCUGUGAAGGUUGGGGUCCUCAGGAAAGGCUUCGCAAAGGAUAUCAACCUGAACCAACGUACAUGGCCACAUGGUGCUGCUUUCCCCUGCAGACAACCCAGACUUGGAGGUUGAGAAGUGGCAGAGCAGUUGGACAGAAUCCAACUCAUUUAUGAUCAUGACCAAGAGGGUAUUUAUAAACAGCCAAAUAAGACAGAAUAGUAAGGAUGUUAAAAUAUGCCAUGUUCUGGUUAAUUAUUAUUUCCUUGUAAUAAUAAGAUCAGAAAGGAAUUCAGGGACUAAAAUAUUGACAUAAGUCAUAAAUAACCUGAAGUUUGAGUUAUUUAUUUCUAUGCUACCAUUGCUGUAAGGUAAUUAAGAAGUGCUACUAUUCACAAUAGCAAAGAAUUGGAACCAACCCAAAUGUCAAUAAUAGACUGGAUUAAGAAAAUGUGGCACAUAUACACCAUGGAAUACUAUGCAGCCAUAAAAAAGGAUGAGUUCAUGUCCUUUGUAGGGACAUGGAUGAAGCUGGAAACCAUCAUUCUGAGCAAACUAUCGCAAGGACAGAAAACCAAAUGCCACAUGUUCUCACUCAUAGGUGGGAAUUGAACAAUGAGGACACUUGGACACAGGGCGGGGAAUAUCACACACCAGGGCCUGUAGUAGGGUGGGGGAAGGAGACAGGGAUAGCAUUAGGAGAAAUACCUAAUGUAAAUGACGAGUUAAUGGGUGCAGCACACCAACAUGACACAUGUAUACAUAUGUAACAAACCUGCAUGUUGUGCACAAGUACCCUAGAAUGUAAAAUAUAAUAAAACAAAUUAAUUAAAUUAAAUUAAAAAGGUAAGUGAGAAGUGCUAAACGAACAAGGAGCCUCUCCUAUUCCUUUGGUAGUUCACUUAUGUUAUCUAUUCGGUUUGGUGGCAGGAUCUAGAUUCUCUCUAUAUUAAUAGAACACCAACUGAAUAACAACCAUCUAAUGCACCAGGCAUGGGACUGUGGCACCUAUUAUUAUUCCAGGAGCUGGAGACACAGGGGCAAACUGAACAGACGAAGCCUCUGUUCUCAGGACCUGCCUUUUCUACUGUGGGAAGGCUGACAAUUAAGCCAGUAAACAAUCAGAAGGUGAUUGUGUCCACUGGAGAAAACUAAGCAGUGUAACGUGACAAAACAGGCGUCUGCGAACUAUGGCCUACAGACAAAGCCAGCCCACUGCCUGUUUUUCUAUGGCCCAUAAGCUAAGAAUGGCUUUUAUACUUGAACCCCAACAAGUGGAAUGUGUCUUCUCAUUCAUAGACCUACAUUACAAAAAAAAUUAUGCUUAAUUGUCCUAUUUUGAGUUUCCUUUUUUUAAAAAUUGUGCUAAUUUGUUUUCUCUGUUGUCAUUUAAGUACUUACAUGGUAUCGUCAAUUUUGCCUCUUGGCCUACUGUGCGUCCCUUUACAUAGAAAUGUUGCCAUCUGCUGUGUUAGAGACCCACAACACUGGUAGAAAAUGACCCAAGUCCAGAACUGCGAAGGAAGACCUUUCUGAGCAGGUGACAUCAAGGCUGAGACGUGAAUGCUACAGGGCAUCCUGGGUUCUCGUCCACUUCUGCCAGGGCUACGUAACCUCUGGGUCUCUCUUUCCUUAUUUGUAAAAUAUCUCGGUUGAACUAUAUCCUCUGCCUUCCCCAAACCGCUAUAGCUCCGUUUCUCUGUUGACUGAACAUGGCACAUCCUUCAUCAUUAUUCAUCUUUCAUCACACAUCUAUGCCCAUUUCAUGAGUAUGAAGAAGAAACAGAUCAGCAGAAGCGACGUUUCCAAUUCUCCACUUUUGCACGCAUCAUACAGUUUGGCAAGAUUCACAGAAGUCCCAUAAAUGAGAGUUCUACAAUUAACCUCCAAUACCUUGAUGAAGUAUGUGGAAGUUUGUCAGAGCACAAGGCCAGAUGCCUUACAAUUUUCCAAACAUUACUAAAAAAACAGCCCACGCUCACUCUGAAUUAUUGUGGUCUUUCAAAGUAUAUACAAAGUAAUACGCAAGGAGACAAAGCUAUUUUACCAGGCAGACAGAUAUUCCAAAUUACUGGUUCUUAACAAGCAUGGUAAUACAUCAGUCAAAAGCAAUAAAUUUAAACUUAAUGAAAUCUCAAUUUGCCUACAGUGCAUUUCACUUUGACAUGUUCUAUAUUGCCACGGUGCUUUGAUAAAGUUUUUUAAAAUGCAAAGAAAGUGUCUGUAAGGCUAAAGACCAGACUUGGUACCAUUGUGGCCAAGGCAACAUUACAGUACUUAAAUUUCAUCACUCUAUGCCCCGUGGCAGGCAGAGCCCCGGCGCUAACACAGGUUCAGUUUUCAUUAUCAUCAUAUGAUUACGCAUUUUACUGCAUUUAACUGAUAAUACAACUACCAGCUCACCUUAAAAGAAUUAGCUUGGAGGUUUCAUUGCUUUCCAAAUGGAAUUCAUUUGACAAACAAAUGACAAUUAGCCUAGUCUCCCUGUUCUGCGUCAGGAUGCUUUUUGAUUGAACCUAGACCAAUUUACAAUUUUUAAAUGAGUUUAGACAUUUACAUUUAAAAUGUCUACAGGAAAUUAGCCCUGGGACAUCCAACAGCCAAAAUGCUUUUUGAAGUUGAUUAUUAUUUGAUCUAGUACCCUCUACCUGUACAUUUUGUUCUGACUUCAAAGUUCGGGAAUGUAAAUGCCACCUCACCUCAAAGCACAGGGAGAAACUUAAAAGCGGUUUUGCUCAUUAUGUUAUGCAAAGGAGCCCAUAUUUUAAUAUUCGUUUAAUAUGGUUAGUUAGCUUUAAUGACACCAGUGUGACAGUGUCAUAGUUUUGGAAUCUGAAAGCGCUGAUUGAAGUUUCCGGCCGCUGCCUCUAUUUUUCUGCACAGAAAGGAAUCUUGCCCUUUGAAAGACAGAUCAGCUCCUGGCUGCGUCCAUUCUGGCGAGGGCUAAACGUAAUAACUUUGAGAUGAAGAGUUCACCUGCCUCAGUGAAGAAAGCACAAAUCAUGAUAUCAGGGGCUACAGAGACACUUGACUGUCAGAUUCCAAUUCUGUGUGUUUUCUAAGUGCAAGCCCUUUGCCCACCGCUGCUGAGGAAGCUGCUAGUAAUUCCAUUAUAAACAUGCAGUGCUGAUAACCCAGCCACAGAAACUGGUAUUGCCCUGAAAUUAAGCCCACUGAUUUCUAGCCGAGAGCAUAUUUUAUUUAUUUAUUAUUGUUUUUGUAGCUACAUUAUUGUCAAAAUGAGAAAACAACAGCCUUUUUCUCAUUCCGUGUUGUACAACUGCAAAAAUUAAAUAUGGUGAGGGGAAAGCUUGCAAAAUGUUCUAUUGCACCCAUCACCCUGUUCUGAAGGCCUGGUAAUCAGUGUUAUCCACAAUAUAUUCAAAGGAACGCUCUGGAAGAAAGGGCAUGUGACACAGGGCUGAGGAGUCGGCGAGUCCCUAUCUGCAUGGAGUUAUCAUGGCUUUCACAGGUCAUCCCUGAGAGCUCACCAGAAUAUUUUGAAUUUCUAGUUUUGUCUCACACUAUAGGACACACACCACAUGUUUUCAAAAUAACUUUGAGUUCAAAAGAGUUCCCUAAGAUAACACUGUAUAACCCCAGCACAGAAUUAAUGGUUUUGAAGACUGUUUUCUGUGAAGGUAGCAGAGGCUGACUUCAGUAAUCCUGGCCCUCCGGAGUGCUCACAACAGUAUCAUGAGGCAAGAAUGCCUGGAGAGGGAGACGUCACAGAUCUAAGAAUGGCAGCGGAGGGCGCCAUGUUUGGUCUCCUUGGGAGAAUUGGUCUGAAUCCCCUGAUCUCACCACCACUUAUUGUGAAAAUAGUGAUAAAAUAAAAAAAUUAAAAAAAGUCUUUUCAUCCAUUUUAUUGCUGAAGAGAUUAGACGUCCUCUAAACUGUGUGAUUUCGCAUCAGCAUCCUUUCACCCUGCUGCACUCCAACCUCAUUUUCCUUAAUGAAAAUGGAAUCCAGGUCUCCGCCAAAGUGUCCUUGGAGUCAACUCUGUUUUGAUUCUAAAUGUAACACACAAGCACCACAUUUUCUCACGCACACAUUGUCCCGAGUAGAGACACGCCAAUUCUUUCUAUCAAGGGCUUCUCAUUGUCUAUUUUUAUUCCAGUAGAAACAGUACCCUUUCUUCCUGUGCUAACACCCUGGCGGCAACCAUCUUGCACAGCAUCCUCAGCCGGUGGCUUUGAAGUCUCCAGAGUUGCCUAAGAGCCCGGGCUGCACAGCUGGAAACCUGGAGGUUUUUGCUACCUCGUCCGCCCUCUGCUGGAUGGACCGACGUCUGCUUACGAAGUGGCCCACAAACAGCCGAAAGGUUUCCCCUUAAGAUGGAUGGGUUUGUCACUAAGCCACGGGAAAUCAUUUUGGGAUUUUAUAAAAUAAAUUUUUCUUUUUUUUCAGAGAUUUUUAGAAAUACACUUUCUUCUCUCCAGAUAUACAGGUGUACCAGUUUAUUCUGCCUAUGUGUUUGGAAAAAAACAGAGAAUUUGUCAGUGAAAACCAUGAAGGAUUCUAACAUCUCUCUCUGACAAUCAAAUGCUAUAUGUGCCCCUGCCCUGGCACUAAUGACCUGGCAACAAGGAAAUAAAAUAAUGCUAAAUCAGAAUAAUUAUUCUAAUAUUCUCACAACACGAAGAAGCAGAAUAUGAUGAGGGUUAAGACCGUGAAAACAGACUGCCUGGGUAUAAACACUUCUCUGACUGUUAUUAACUCUGAGACCUUGCACAAGUUAAA